ACGUGAUAAGCUGCGAUAAGCUUCGGGGAGUUGCACGUAAACUUUGAUCCGAAGAUUUCCGAAUGAGGAAACUCACUUAGAGUAAUGUCUAAGUAUCAUUAAGUGAAUACAUAGCUUAAUGAGGGGAACUCAGGGAACUGAAACAUCUAAGUACCUGAAGGAAGAGAAAGAAAUUCGAUUCCGUAAGUAGCGGCGAGCGAACGCGGAUUAGCCCAAACCAAUAAAGUUUUCUUUAUUGGGGUUGCGGACAUAUCAUAACGAAGAGGUAUCGUAAUUGAAGAGGUUUGGAAAGACCCACCACAGAAGGUAAUAGUCCUGUAUGUUAAACGAGAAGACUUCAGAUAUGAUCCAGAGUACCACGGGACACGUGAAACCCUGUGGGAAGCAGGAGGGACCACCCUCCAAGGCUAAAUACUACCUAGUGACCGAUAGCGUAUAGUACCGUGAGGGAAAGGUGAAAAGAACCCCGGGAGGGGAGUGAAAUAGAACCUGAAACCCUGCACUUACAAGCUGUGGAAGCACAUUUCUUGUGUGACCGCGUACUUUUUGUAGAACGGGCCAACGAGUUACGUUAAGUAGCAAGGUUAAGCACUUAAGGUGCGGAGCCGUAGCGAAAGCGAGUUUUAACUGAGCGUUCAGUUACUUGACGUAGACCCGAAACCGGGCGACCUACCCAUGAGCAGGAUGAAGCGAAAGUAAAAUUUCGUGGAGGUCCGAACCCACGAGCGUUGAAAAGCUCGGGGAUGACUUGUGGGUAGCGGUGAAAUUCCAAUCGAGCCCGGAGAUAGCUGGUUCUCCCCGAAAUAGCUUUAGGGCUAGCCUCAAGGUGAGAGAUACGGAGGUAGAGCACUGAAUGUCCUAGGGGGUAUUGCACCUACCGAAGACUAUCAAACUCCGAAUGCCGUCAUCUUAUACUUGGGAGUCAGACUGUGGGUGAUAAGAUUCAUAGUCGAAAGGGCAACAGCCCAGAUCGUCAGCUAAGGUCCCUAAAUGUAAGUUAAGUGGUAAAGGAUGUGGGAUUGCACAGACAACCAGGAUGUUGGCUUAGAAGCAGCCACUCAUUCAAAGAGUGCGUAAUAGCUCACUGGUCGAGUGAUCCUGCGCCGAAGAUUUCCGGGGCUAAAACUUACUACCGAAGCUACGGCAUCAGUAAUGAUGGGUAGGGGAGCUUCCCAUACGGGUUGAAGCAUGACCGUAAGGACAUGUGGACAGUAUGGGAGUGAGAAUGUUGGCAUGAGUAGCGAGAUGUGGGUGAGAAUCCCACAGGCCGUAAACCCAAGGUUUCCAGGGGAAGGUUCGUCCGCCCUGGGUUAGUCGGGACCUAAGCUGAGGCCGAAAGGCGUAGGUGAUGGACAACAGGUUGAUAUUCCUGUACUACCGAUAACCGUUUGAGAGAAGGGAUGACACAGUAGGAUAAGCUAAGCACACUGUUGGUUAUGUGUGCCCAAGCAUUGAGGCAGUCAAAGCAGGCAAAUCCGCUUUGAUAAUGCUGGGAUGUGAUGGGGAGCGAAAUUUAGUAGCGAAGUAGCUGAUUUCACACUGUCAAGAAAAGUCUCUAUCGAGGUUAAAGGUACCCGUACCGCAAACCGACACAGGUGGGUGAGGAGAGUAUCCUAAGGCCAGCGAGAGAACUGUUGUUAAGGAACUCGGCAAAAUGACCCCGUAACUUAGGGAUAAGGGGUGCCACCAUCCGGUGGCCGCAGAGAAUAGGCCCAAGCGACUGUUUACCAAAAACAUAGGUUUCUGCUAAGUCGCAAGACGAUGUAUAGGAGCUGACGCCUGCCCGGUGCUGGAAGGUUAAGGGGAUCUGUUAGAGCAAUCGAAGCAGUGAACUUAAGCCCCAGUAAACGGCGGCCGUAACUAUAACGGUCCUAAGGUAGCGAAAUUCCUUGUCGGGUAAGUUCCGACCCGCACGAAAGGCGUAACGAUUUGGGCACUGUCUCAACAACAGACUCGGUGAAAUUGUAAUUCCGGUGAAGAUGCCGGAUACCUGCGACAGGACGGAAAGACCCCAUGGAGCUUUACUGUAGCUUGACAUUGGGUCUUGGUACUACAUGUACAGGAUAGGUGGGAGGCUUUGAAACCAGGACGCCAGUUUUGGCGGAGCCAUCCUUGGGAUACCACCCUUGUAGUACUGGGACUCUAACCAUAGGCCAUGAAUCUGGUCUUGGGACACUGUCAGGUGGGCAGUUUGACUGGGGCGGUCGCCUCCCAAAAGGUAACGGAGGCGCUCAAAGGUUCUCUCAGUACGGUCGGAAAUCGUACGUAGAGUGUAAAGGCAAAAGAGAGCUUGAUUGCAAGACAUACAGGUCGAGCAAGGAUGAAAAUCGGACUUAGUGAUCCGGUGGUUCUGCGUGGAAGGGCCAUCGCUCAACGGAUAAAAGCUACCCUGGGGAUAACAGGCUUAUCUCCCCCAAGAGUCCACAUCGACGGGGAGGUUUGGCACCUCGAUGUCGGCUCAUCACAUCCUGGGGCUGUAGUAGGUCCCAAGGGUUGGGCUGUUCGCCCAUUAAAGUGGUACGCGAGCUGGGUUCAGAACGUCGUGAGACAGUUCGGUCCCUAUCCGUCGCAGGCGUAGGAAAUUUGAGAAGACCUGUCCUUAGUACGAGAGGACCGGGAUGGACGUACCUCUGGUGUACCAGUUGUUCUGCCAAGGGCAUGGCUGGG
rnacentral:rRNA from 1 species